rnacentral:rRNA from 1 species
GGUUAAGCGACUAAGCGUACACGGUGGAUGCCCUGGCAGUCAGAGGCGAUGAAGGACGUGCUAAUCUGCGAUAAGCGUCGGUAAGGUGAUAUGAACCGUUAUAACCGGCGAUUUCCGAAUGGGGAAACCCAGUGUGUUUCGACACACUAUCAUUAACUGAAUCCAUAGGUUAAUGAGGCGAACCGGGGGAACUGAAACAUCUAAGUACCCCGAGGAAAAGAAAUCAACCGAGAUUCUCCCAGUAGCGGCGAGCGAACGGGGAGCAGCCCAGAGCCUGAAUCAGUGUGUGUGUUAGUGGAAGCGUCUGGAAAGGCGCGCGAUACAGGGUGACAGCCCCGUACACAAAAAUGCACAUGCUGUGAGCUCGAUGAGUAGGGCGGGACACGUGGUAUCCUGUCUGAAUAUGGGGGGACCAUCCUCCAAGGCUAAAUACUCCUGACUGACCGAUAGUGAACCAGUACCGUGAGGGAAAGGCGAAAAGAACCCCGGCGAGGGGGAGUGAAAAAGAACCUGAAACCGUGUACGUACAAGCAGUGGGAGCACGCUUAGGCGUGUGACUGCGUACCUUUUGUAUAAUGGGUCAGCGACUUAUAUUCUGUAGCAAGGUUAACCGAAUAGGGGAGCCGAAGGGAAACCGAGUCUUAACUGGGCGUUAAGUUGCAGGGUAUAGACCCGAAACCCGGUGAUCUAGCCAUGGGCAGGUUGAAGGUUGGGUAACACUAACUGGAGGACCGAACCGACUAAUGUUGAAAAAUUAGCGGAUGACUUGUGGCUGGGGGUGAAAGGCCAAUCAAACCGGGAGAUAGCUGGUUCUCCCCGAAAGCUAUUUAGGUAGCGCCUCGUGAAUUCAUCUCCGGGGGUAGAGCACUGUUUCGGCAAGGGGGUCAUCCCGACUUACCAACCCGAUGCAAACUGCGAAUACCGGAGAAUGUUAUCACGGGAGACACACGGCGGGUGCUAACGUCCGUCGUGAAGAGGGAAACAACCCAGACCGCCAGCUAAGGUCCCAAAGUCAUGGUUAAGUGGGAAACGAUGUGGGAAGGCCCAGACAGCCAGGAUGUUGGCUUAGAAGCAGCCAUCAUUUAAAGAAAGCGUAAUAGCUCACUGGUCGAGUCGGCCUGCGCGGAAGAUGUAACGGGGCUAAACCAUGCACCGAAGCUGCGGCAGCGACACUAUGUGUUGUUGGGUAGGGGAGCGUUCUGUAAGCCUGUGAAGGUGUGCUGUGAGGCAUGCUGGAGGUAUCAGAAGUGCGAAUGCUGACAUAAGUAACGAUAAAGCGGGUGAAAAGCCCGCUCGCCGGAAGACCAAGGGUUCCUGUCCAACGUUAAUCGGGGCAGGGUGAGUCGACCCCUAAGGCGAGGCCGAAAGGCGUAGUCGAUGGGAAACAGGUUAAUAUUCCUGUACUUGGUGUUACUGCGAAGGGGGGACGGAGAAGGCUAUGUUGGCCGGGCGACGGUUGUCCCGGUUUAAGCGUGUAGGCUGGUUUUCCAGGCAAAUCCGGAAAAUCAAGGCUGAGGCGUGAUGACGAGGCACUACGGUGCUGAAGCAACAAAUGCCCUGCUUCCAGGAAAAGCCUCUAAGCAUCAGGUAACAUCAAAUCGUACCCCAAACCGACACAGGUGGUCAGGUAGAGAAUACCAAGGCGCUUGAGAGAACUCGGGUGAAGGAACUAGGCAAAAUGGUGCCGUAACUUCGGGAGAAGGCACGCUGAUAUGUAGGUGAAGUCCCUCGCGGAUGGAGCUGAAAUCAGUCGAAGAUACCAGCUGGCUGCAACUGUUUAUUAAAAACACAGCACUGUGCAAACACGAAAGUGGACGUAUACGGUGUGACGCCUGCCCGGUGCCGGAAGGUUAAUUGAUGGGGUUAGCCGCAAGGCGAAGCUCUUGAUCGAAGCCCCGGUAAACGGCGGCCGUAACUAUAACGGUCCUAAGGUAGCGAAAUUCCUUGUCGGGUAAGUUCCGACCUGCACGAAUGGCGUAAUGAUGGCCAGGCUGUCUCCACCCGAGACUCAGUGAAAUUGAACUCGCUGUGAAGAUGCAGUGUACCCGCGGCAAGACGGAAAGACCCCGUGAACCUUUACUAUAGCUUGACACUGAACAUUGAGCCUUGAUGUGUAGGAUAGGUGGGAGGCUUUGAAGUGUGGACGCCAGUCUGCAUGGAGCCGACCUUGAAAUACCACCCUUUAAUGUUUGAUGUUCUAACGUUGACCCGUAAUCCGGGUUGCGGACAGUGUCUGGUGGGUAGUUUGACUGGGGCGGUCUCCUCCUAAAGAGUAACGGAGGAGCACGAAGGUUGGCUAAUCCUGGUCGGACAUCAGGAGGUUAGUGCAAUGGCAUAAGCCAGCUUGACUGCGAGCGUGACGGCGCGAGCAGGUGCGAAAGCAGGUCAUAGUGAUCCGGUGGUUCUGAAUGGAAGGGCCAUCGCUCAACGGAUAAAAGGUACUCCGGGGAUAACAGGCUGAUACCGCCCAAGAGUUCAUAUCGACGGCGGUGUUUGGCACCUCGAUGUCGGCUCAUCACAUCCUGGGGCUGAAGUAGGUCCCAAGGGUAUGGCUGUUCGCCAUUUAAAGUGGUACGCGAGCUGGGUUUAGAACGUCGUGAGACAGUUCGGUCCCUAUCUGCCGUGGGCGCUGGAGAACUGAGGGGGGCUGCUCCUAGUACGAGAGGACCGGAGUGGACGCAUCACUGGUGUUCGGGUUGUCAUGCCAAUGGCACUGCCCGGUAGCUAAAUGCGGAAGAGAUAAGUGCUGAAAGCAUCUAAGCACGAAACUUGCCCCGAGAUGAGUUCUCCCUGACUCCUUGAGAGUCCUGAAGGAACGUUGAAGACGACGACGUUGAUAGGCCGGGUGUGUAAGCGCAGCGAUGCGUUGAGCUAACCGGUACUAAUGAACCGUGAGGCUUAACCUU